rnacentral:rRNA from 1 species
UACAGAGGUCCCAAGCGUUGUUCGGAUUCACUGGGCGUAAAGGGUGCGUAGGCGGUCGGGUAAGUCUGACGUGAAAUCUUCAAGCUUAACUUGGAAACUGCGUCGGAUACUAUUCGGCUGGAGGAAUGGAGGGGAGACUGGAAUACUUGGUGUAGCAGUGAAAUGCGUAGAUAUCAAGUGGAACACCAGUGGCGAAGGCGAGUCUCUGGACAUUUCCUGACGCUGAGGCACGAAAGCCAGGGGAGCAAACGGG